UCAGUGAACGCACCGCAGUAGUGUGAUGUUGCAUCAGUUAAAAACGUCUUUUUUAUGACUUCUCCGACGCUGUACAGGCAGAUGUACCUUUCCUCUCCUUCCUUGCGCCUCAUCCUUGUUUUCCCAAGUUAAUGCUGUGCGUGAAUGCAUAAAGUACCACAGCAUAAAGCCUUACAAAGACCACAGUUUACCAGUCCUUGCUGCCACUUAUUGACCAAAUCCACCAAACAGAGGACAACUUGCCGUGUUCUUUGACUUGAACACACAUCUAUACCUUUGACCGCUCCAAACCAGUGCAUCCUUGGAGACAUCUCAACACCCUGAGAACCCUCUCCGUUUCAAUACAUACUGUGAUCAUGCAUUAACAAGCUAGGUGAUGUGACAUAGCCCAUAGAAGCUGACGCUACUUCCGUCAACAACAGGAGCAUAAAAGCAGCAAGGACACUUACAAUAUCCGCUCUCCUUGGGAUGGCUCUGUCUUCCAACGCAAGACUUGUACUCCAGUCGUCAGGUAAAAACUGUUGACAGAAAAAGAGCAUCUCGUGUCUUAGUAGCGAAAUUGAGAGCCAGUAGUAUCCACUCUUCCGUCUGUCCCGCUGCAGUGGCUUGAUGCACUGUGAGUGACGCUGAGAUGAGCGGCUAGCGAGGCGUCGUGUCACUCCGCCAGAUAAUUAUAGUUUUUCGUGUUAGCCGCUACAAUAACAAUAUCGCUGCAGCUUGGUUCAUAUGCAGGUCAGUUAUGUAAAUGGAACACUGUUGGCGUUUCUUUUUUGUUAGGGCUUUAUCAUCAAAGUAGGCACCUCCCACGACGUGCAUUGUUAGCUGGCUCACGCUAACUCCUUUUCUCUCGUUGCGUGUUCACAUUCCACAUGAGCAAAAUUCCCAAAAAAGUGCAGUUUGCCUUUAAGUGAACGUAGCCUUGACCCGGAGGCGUUGAUGUCGUCAGGUGGUGCCCGUCAUUCAUUGAGUAUUUCGACUCUUACCACAACAUCCUCCCGAUGGCGGGUCAGCACAGGUGACCAAAUCCAUCUCCUCCUGCCCUCACCCUCCUCCUAAUUCCGCAAAAUGACCUGAUCCAGACUUAUCGGGUCAUGUUAUAAUAUUAUAUUUAACUUGGCUUUCUGUCGUGUCUGUAUUCCGUAAUCUUGUGAAAUAAACAACGUUGUCAGUCUGCGUUUUCGUUCUAAUUUACAGAGAUUAAUUCAAGGAUUGUUCAAGGCGCAACGUCCAACGUUUUUGUUCUCAUUUAUGCAGUGUGUAUGUCUGCAUAUGAGCCUGCGUAUAUGCGUGCAUCGUCAGCUGUUAUGUUAACAAAGCAAAAAAAGUUGCGAUGCUCAUUUACAUUAAUGACCUUAGAAUUAAGAUUGUUUGAAGUUGAAAAAAAAAACUGGAUGAAAGGAUCCGUGCCAGUGCAAUUAAAUGCACAAGCUAAUUGAACGAAGCAAGUCAACAUAUAUUAUUUUCAAAUGGCCUUCUGAAACACAGUGGCCGCCAUUUCAGCAAGCUAUUACACUUUGUUGAAAGUUUUGAUAUUCAUUUUAUGUGGAAAAGCAGCAUCUCCAGCUGUGCAAUUUCUUUUAAGUUGCCGUGCUUUGAUGUGUUAAAUGAAUUUAAAGAUUAAUACUGUUAAGUUAAUAUUUUCAUUGCAUUGCAUUUUCCUACAAGUGAAUUAAGAGCCCUCAAUUUGCUUCACCGUGCUGCUGAAUGGUUGGUGGAAAAAAACAAAACAGGGGCUAUUGAGUCUGAAUGGGCUGUGUUAUGUGCCCCAGUCUGCCAGUUCGAGCUGUGGUUGCAAGUUGGUCGAUGGCAGUCGUGGUAGUAACCUCUGAACCCAACAGUGGACACCAGAGGUUAAGGGGGCUGUCAACAACCAGUGGCUGCAGCGAACAUUUUUGUUUGGGAAGAGUUUGGUGAGGCCAAGGAGCACAGUUUUUAGUCGGCCUCAUAAGGUUCUGGUUAACUGUCCAACACCUCAGAAUGGCCAAGCGGUGGCAUCAACUGUAGGACUGCUUUUCAAUCCCACUGACACACCUUCCAUAGAGGGCGGACGUACACCCACCAAUGACCACAGUCGAGGAAACUCCUCAGUGGAAAGGCCCUCGGGAUGCACGAGAUUCACCCUGAAUUUCUUAAGGCUGUGGAUUUAGUGGGAGGAGGAGGUGUAAUGUGGUUUCUGUUGUGGUCAUGGAACACCGGAUUAGCUCUACACCCUUGCAAAGGUACAGGAGAGUGUGCGGGAGUUAGCCCACUUGUUUUCUGGACUUGCAAAUACUGGAGCAUGUAACCAUUUCCGUCAUCGUGUCCUGUGGGAAUGCGCUCAGAGUACGGGGUGAGAGGCUCAGUACAAGGGGCCAUCCCAUACCUGUACAAUCCCCGUCUCUGUUCAUUACUUUUAUGGACAGAAUUUCUCGAGUUUGAUAGCCUUUGGGUCUUGUCUCUAAGUGCAGAUGAUGUAGUCCUUCAUCCUUCAUGGCUUCAUCAGUCUGUGAACUUCACCGUUCUCAGGGGCCGUUCACAGCUGAGUGUGAAGCUUUUGGGAUGAGCACCUCCAAAUCUGAGCCACACGGAGAUCCCUCAAUUUACAGUCAAUCUGUGUUCCCAACACCACCUACGGUCCCAAGCGUAGGUAGCGACCAAAAGGACAAGAGUGGAGAUACAGUACGUCCUACAAUCAGCGGAAAUGUGGGUAUGCCCAAAUGGGAAGAGUUUAUAUUACAUGUGGAUGACUCCUCUCAAAAAAUAAAGUUUUCAAAUUCAAUUUUCUCACCUACGUGUUUAUUGCGGUUGCAGUUUGCAGUAGUGUACAACAGUGGACCCACGGACCGGCUCUCGUUCCCACAAACCUCCGGCGGACGGGGGAAGGGGAUUGUGGUACAUUAUCACGAUCAAAUGCUAUUUAUUUCUAAUGUGGUGUGUAAAACUAAGACAGGGACAACAUCAAAUUAAAAGCACAAAAUGAAUGCAGACCCAACAUUCACCAGCCUGCCAUUUGUUUUUCAGAGAGAUUUUACCGUCGCUGUUUGAUGUGUGUCAUAACAGGCUAGCGUGUGCUAGCAUGAAUUAACUUGAGGUUGUGGACCGGACAAAUAUUUACUUUAGCAGUCAAUAACGUCAUCAAACCUUACCUUUAUGCAGUCCCACAUAGUAUCGGCACUUGGGACCAAAUAUGUGAUGAAAGAAAAACAGGAAAAAAUAGUAGUCUGUGCAGCGUGGGGGAAAGUUAGAUGGUGCUUUCAAGGACCUUCGAACAAAGUGGGACGGCUCCCCGCUCACAACAAACAACAUAAACAUGCAAGACAGUGGGAUUUCUAACUGUAUAGUAUUUUUUGAAUAAAACAAUGGCCCAUAUUUCCAAACUUGAUAUCCAUUUACAUACAAUUUGAUGUACUUACUUACAAACGUAUUUAAAGUGUGUUUUUUGUUUGUUUUUUUAUCAUUGCAACUGAAAGUUUCCCACAGCCCAGUUUGGCCCUGUCCACGGACCGGUGCAGGGCCACGGCACGGUGGUUGGGGACCCCGGGUGUACAACUACACUGCACCAUAGCACACUGUAGCCACUUUUUCUCUU